CUACCAGCGAGGCGCGUGAUCCCCCACCCGUUUCAAAGAGGCCUUCAUGGUCGUCGGACAUCAGCGACUUUGAAAUUGGAAUAAGAUCCCGUCAAAAUCAGUCAAUCUAGCCCCGAAGAGAGGAAGAUUCGAGUCGUCCGAGUCAGCAAUUUCCGACUUGUCCGACGAUCCUGAUUUCCGAUAAGAGCAAUAAAAAUAGGUCUAUGGACUGUUUGUGGGUCACUAGAGCCGUUAGUCACUUCGUCUAUUCCCCUGGAAAUUACGUCAUCCGAUGUGGAUGAGGACGACGACAAGUUAAGCAGACGUGGGCGAGGAUG